rnacentral:rRNA from 1 species
CCUACGGGUGGCAGCAGUGAGGAAUAUUGGUCAAUGGGCGCGAGCCUGAACCAGCCAAGCAGUGUGAAGGAGGAAUGCCCUACGGGUUGUAAACUUCUUUUGUAAAGGAAUAAAGUGAGGCUCGUGUGCCUUUUUGUAUGUACUUUAUGAAUAAGGAUCGGCUAACUCCGUGCCAGCAGCCGCGGUAAUACGGAGGAUCCGAGCGUUAUCCGGAUUUAUUGGGGUUAAAGGGAGCGUAGAUGGGUUGUUAAGUCAGUUGUGAAAGUUUGCGGCUCAACCGGAAAAUUGCAAUUGAAACUGGCAGCCUUGAGUACAGUUGAGGUAGGCGGAAUUCGUGGUGUAGCGGUGAAAUGCUUAGAUAUCACGAAGAACUCCGAUUGCGAAGGCAGCUUACUAAACUGCCACUGACAUUGAUGCACGAAAGUGAGGGUAUCAAACAGGAUUAGAUACCCUAGUAGUC